rnacentral:pre_miRNA from 1 species
AAUAUGAGGGAUUUUGAGUUUUUGUUUGUAGUGUUUGACCACUAGUCUUAUUUAAAAAAAAUUAGAAUUAUUAUUUACUUUUUUGUGACUUACUUUAUUAUCCAAAGUACUUUACGCACAACUUUUUAUUUUUUAUAUUUGCAUAAAUUUUUUUAAUAAGACGAGUGGUCAAACACUACAAACAAAAACUCAAAAUCCCUUAUA